rnacentral:rRNA from 1 species
UACGGGGGGAGCAAGCGUUGUUCGGAUUUACUGGGCGUAAAGGGCGCGUAGGCGGCCACCGCAAGUCAGUUGUGAAAUCUCUGGGCUUAACCCAGAAAGGUCAACUGAUACUGCGGGGCUAGAGUGCAGAAGGGGCAACUGGAAUUCUCGGUGUAGCGGUGAAAUGCGUAGAUAUCGAGAGGAACACCUGCGGCGAAGGCGGGUUGCUGGGCUGACACUGACGCUGAGGAGCGAAAGCAUGGGGAGCGAACAGG